rfam:Sphingobacterium psychroaquaticum strain DSM 22418 genome assembly, contig: LY64DRAFT_scaffold00002.2
GAAGAGGCUUUUCUCAAAGCCACUUACUUCCUACUACAGUUUCAG